rnacentral:rRNA from 1 species
GAUGAACGCUGACGGCGUGCCUAAUACAUGCAAGUCGAGCGAACGGACGAGAAGCUUGCUUCUCUGAUGUUAGCGGCGGACGGGUGAGUAACACGUGGAUAACCUACCUAUAAGACUGGGAUAACUUCGGGAAACCGGAGCUAAUACCGGAUAAUAUUUUGAACCGCAUGGUUCAAAAGUGAAAGACGGUCUUGCUGUCACUUAUAGAUGGAUCCGCGCUGCAUUAGCUAGUUGGUAAGGUAACGGCUUACCAAGGCAACGAUGCAUAGCCGACCUGAGAGGGUGAUCGGCCACACUGGAACUGAGACACUGUCCAGACUCCUACGGGAGGCAGCAGUAGGGAAUCUUCCGCAAAGGGCGAAAGCCUGACGGAGCAACGCCGCGUGAGUGAUGAAGGUCUUCGGAUCGUAAAACUCUGUUAUUAGGGAAGAACAUAUGUGUAAGUAACUGUGCACAUCUUGACGGUACCUAAUCAGAAAGCCACGGCUAACUACGUG